rnacentral:rRNA from 1 species
GACGAACGCUGGCGGCGUGCUUAACACAUGCACGUCGAACGAGUGGCGAACGGGUGAGUAAUACGUGGGUAACCUGCCCUCCUUUUUGGGAUCAGCCUUGGAAACGGGGUCUAAUACCGAAUAAAGGGGGAUGGGCUCGCGGACUAUCAGAUGGUUGGUGGGGUGAUGGCUACCAAGGCGUGACAGGUAGCCGGCCUGAGAGGGUGAACGGCCACAUUUGGUAUGAGAUACGGCCGAGACACCUACGGGAGGCAGGAGUGGGGAAUAUUGGGGAAUGGGCGCAAGUGUGACCAAGCAACGCGGCGUGAAGGAAGACGGUCUUCGGAUUGUAAACUACUUUAGACAGGGACGCGGUACCUGUAGAAUAAGCAACGGCUAACUACGUGCCAGCAGCCGCGGUAAUAC